UGGAAAAGGUCUACCAAUCUGCCGGUGUUUGUGCGGAAAUUGCACCUGAAGUCUGGUAGCAGGGAAAGUAGAACUGUGUGGUUGAUGAGGGCCUGUCUAGGCCGGAAAAGCUGGCACAAUGUGGUGAACCACGGAGGGCAGCGGCUCGCUGAGAAGUCUCCUUGUGAGCCAGAUGAAGCAGUAACUCACACGGUAGAAGUCCUUAGCCUCACAGCAGCCAGAAGGUGGCAGUGGAGGCCUAGAAGACCCGGCGAUGGAUACAGCAGUGGAUCUAACAGCGGGACCAGUGACCAGAGCAGGACGAGCUGUGAGGUCCUGAGUUCAAUUCCCAGCAACCACAUGGUGGCUCACAUCCAUCUGUAAUGAGAUCCGAUGCCCUCUUCUGGUGGGUCUGAAGACAGCUACAGAACUCAUAUACAUACAGGAUGGAUCUGCACACCCACAGGACAGCUCAUCAAGUACACACGGCUGAUGGUUUGUUGGCUCCGAGUUACCCUCAAGGCUAAUCACCCACACACUGACUGGGGAAAUUCGGGACUCGUGCCCCUGGAGCAUGCAAACCAUUCCCUGGCUACACAGAGCAAAGGUAAUGAAGGAAAAGUGCAGUCUGAGACAAGGCAACCACACGGCCAGAGGGCAAGAAUGACUACGAUUGACUGACUACCUUUGCUCCCCAUCCCUAUAUACCGUGAUGGCUGAAGAGGAAGAGGAAGGCUGUUGAGGAUGCCCAUCCACUGAGCUCUCAUAAUGUCAACUCUCUGACUAAUUCAUACUUUAAAGAAUCAAUUCCUGUCUCUGCCUCUCACAGUCCCUGAGUGACAAGUUGCAAGGGCUCUGGUGCCUCAGUCUUUUUCUUCCUCUCUCUAAGGCUGCACUCUUGGCUGGACCUUUAGUAAAUGCAUGGGUCUCCAGUG